rnacentral:rRNA from 1 species
AUUUGGUUAAGUUAGAAAGGGCGCACGGUGAAUGCCUUGGCACUAGGAGCCGAAGAAGGACGUGACGAACGACGAAACGCCUCGGGGAGCUGUAAGUAAGCUUUGAUCCGAGGAUAUCCGAAUGGGGGAACCCACCAUCCGUAAUGGGAUGGUACCCAUACCUGAAUACAUAGGGUAUGAGGAGGCAGACCUGGGGAACUGAAACAUCUAAGUACCCAGAGGAAGAGAAAGCAAAUGCGAUUUCCUUAGUAGCGGCGAGCGAAACGGAAACAGCCCAAACCAAGAGGCUUGCCUCUUGGGGUUGUAGGACGUCUCACAUGGAGUAAGAAAAGAAGAGCAUAAGCGAAGCGAUCUGGAAAGGUCCAUCGUAGAGGGUAACAAUCCCGUAGCUGAAAUGCUCUUCUCUCCGAGACGGAUCCUGAGUACGGCGGGACACGUGAAACCCCGUCGGAAUCCGGGAGGACCAUCUCCCAAGGCUAAAUACUCCCUAGUGACCGAUAGUGAACCAGUACCGUGAGGGAAAGGUGAAAAGCACCCCGGGAGGGGAGUGAAAUAGAUCCUGAAACCGUGUGCCUACAACUAGUCAGAGCCCGUUAAUGGGUGAUGGCGUGCCUUUUGUAGAAUGAACCGGCGAGUUACGAUGUCGUGCAAGGUUAAGCUUAAAAAGCGGAGCCGCAGCGAAAGCGAGUCUUAAUAGGGCGCUUUAGUACGCCGUCGUAGACCCGAAACCGUGUGAUCUACCCAUGUCCAGGGUGAAGUUCAGGUAACACUGAAUGGAGGCCCGAACCCACGUAUGUUGAAAAAUGCGGGGAUGAGGUGUGGGUAGGGGUGAAAUGCCAAUCGAACUCGGAAAUAGCUGGUUCUCCCCGAAAUAGCUUUAGGGCUAGCCUCGAGGUGAGAGUUUUGGAGGUAGAGCACUGAUUGAACUAGGGGUCCCCACAGGAUUACCGAAUUCAGUCAAACUCCGAAUGCCAAAAACUUAUCCUCGGGAGUCAGACUGCGAGUGCUAAGAUCCGUAGUCAAGAGGGAAACAGCCCAGACCAUCAGCUAAGGUCCCAAAGUAUACGUUAAGUGGAAAAGGAUGUGGAGUUGCUUAGACAACCAGGAUGUUGGCUCAGAAGCAGCCACCAUUUAAAGAGUGCGUAAUAGCUCACUGGUCGAGUGACUCUGCGCCGAAAAUGUACCGGGGCUAAACGUAUCACCGAAGCUAUGGAUGAACACCUUAUGGUGUUCGUGGUAGGGGAGCGUUCUAAGUGCAGCGAAGUCAGACCGGAAGGACUGGUGGAGCGCUUAGAAGUGAGAAUGCCGGUAUGAGUAGCGAAAAGAGGGGUGAGAAUCCCCUCCGUCGAAAGCCCAAGGUUUCCUGAGGAAGGCUCGUCCGCUCAGGGUAAGUCGGGACCUAAGCCGAGGCCGAAAGGCGUAGGCGAUGGACAACAGGUUGAAAUUCCUGUACCACCUCCUCACCGUUUGAGUAAUGGGGGGACGCAGAAAGGUAGGGUAAGCGCGGCGAUGGAAUGCCGCGUCCAAGCAGUUAGGCUGAGAAGUAGGCAAAUCCGCUUCUCGUGAAGGCUGAGCUGUGAUGGCGAGGGAAAUUUAGUACCGAAGUUCCUGAUCCUACACUGCCUAGAAAAGCCUCUAGCGAGGUGAGAGGUGCCCGUACCGCAAACCGACACAGGUAGGCGAGAAGAGAAUUCUAAGACGCUCGGGAGAACUCUCGUUAAGGAACUCGGCAAAAUGACCCCGUAACUUCGGGAGAAGGGGUGCUCUAUUAGGGUGCAAGCCCGAGAGAGCCGCAGUGAAUAGAUCCAAGCGACUGUUUAGCAAAAACACAGGUCUCUGCGAAGCCGCAAGGCGAAGUAUAGGGGCUGACACCUGCCCGGUGCUGGAAGGUUAAGAGGAGGGGUUAUCCGUAAGGAGAAGCUCUGAAUUGAAGCCCCAGUAAACGGCGGCCGUAACUAUAACGGUCCUAAGGUAGCGAAAUUCCUUGUCGGGUAAGUUCCGACCCG